rnacentral:rRNA from 1 species
AGAGUUUGAUCCUGGCUCAGGAUGAACGCUGGCGGCGUGCUUAACACAUGCAAGUCGAACGAUGACUUUUGUGCUUGCACAAAAUGAUUAGUGGCGAACGGGUGAGUAACACGUGAGUAACCUGCCCUUAACUUCGGGAUAAGCCUGGGAAACCGGGUCUAAUACCGGAUACGACGGAUUCCCGCAUGGGGGUCCGUGGAAAGCUUGAUGCGGUUUUGGAUGGACUCGCGGCCUAUCAGCUAGUUGGUUGGGGUAAUGGCCCACCAAGGCGACGACGGGUAGCCGGCCUGAGAGGGUGACCGGCCACACUGGGACUGAGACACGGCCCAGACUCCUACGGGAGGCAGCAGUGGGGAAUAUUGCACAAUGGGCGAAAGCCUGAUGCAGCGACGCCGCGUGAGGGACGAAGGCCUUCGGGUUGUAAACCUCUUUCAGCAGGGAAGAAGCGAAAGUGACGGUACCUGCAGAAGAAGCGCCGGCUAACUACGUGCCAGCAGCCGCGGUAAUACGUAGGGCGCAAGCGUUAUCCGGAAUUAUUGGGCGUAAAGAGCUCGUAGGCGGUUUGUCGCGUCUGCUGUGAAAGCCCGGGGCUCAACCCCGGGUCUGCAGUGGGUACGGGCAGACUAGAGUGCAGUAGGGGAGACUGGAAUUCCUGGUGUAGCGGUGAAAUGUGCAGAUAUCAGGAGGAACACCGAUGGCGAAGGCAGGUCUCUGGGCUGUAACUGACGCUGAGGAGCGAAAGCAUGGGGAGCGAACAGGAUUAGAUACCCUGGUAGUCCAUGCCGUAAACGUUGGGCCCUAGGUGUGGGGGGACAUUCCCCCUUUUUCCCCGCCCUAGCUAAACGCAUUAAGUGCCCCCCGGGGGGGGAGUGCGGCCGGAAGGAUAAAACUCAAAGGAAUUAAACGGGGGCCCGCACAAGCGGCGGAGCAUAGGGAUUAAUUUGAUGCAACGCGAAGAACCUUACCAAGGCUUGACAUGAACCGGAAAGGCCUGGAAACAGGUCCCCCACUGGUGGCCGGUUUACAGGUGGUGCAUGGUUGUCGUCAGCUCGUGUCGUGAGAUGUGGGGUUAAGUCCCGCAACGAGCGCAACCCUCGUUUUAUGUUGCCAGCGGGUUAUGCCGGGGACUCAUAGGAGACUGCCGGGGUCAACUGGGAGGAAGGGGGGGACGACGUCAAAUCAUCAUGCCCCUUAUGUCUUGGGCUUCACGCAUGCUACAAUGGCCGGUACAAAGGGUUGCGAUACUGUGAGGUGGAGCUAAUCCCAAAAAACCGGUCUCAGUUCGGAUUGAGGUCUGCAACUCGACCUCAUGAAGUGGGAGUCGCUAGUAAUCGCAGAUCA